rnacentral:pre_miRNA from 1 species
UGGACAGAUUAUUGUAUUCGACCGUAUUCACGGCGUGAAAAAAGGCAUUACACUGCUUUUAAAACGGAAAGUGAAUCAAUUAACAUAAUAGACUCCU